AUUUGCUCUUUUUCAGCCAGCACAGUAAGCUAGUGAAGAUGUCUGGUUACUACUCCAAGCAGAAAUGACAGAGGGUUGGCCACGAACAGUCUCCUCCCAGCCCAGGUGUGACCACUUUGCUCUUUCUGCCCACUCCCCCUUAUAAUCGGCCCCAGGAAAGGCUGGAGCUCCAAACUGUGUCUGCCUGGGCAGAGGAUCCUGCUCCUGUCGUCACUGGUGACAGUGCCUGAGGAGGUAUAGCAAAGGAAACAGGAGGCUGCCUUCCUCAUCUCUGAGGUGUUUGGCUGCAGACACUGCUAGGCCUUAUCUCCAACUGCCAGGGCACAGACUUCCAGCCUAGAGAGUGCCGAGUUUCUGCCUAGUGUUUUCUCGUGGCUUUAUCUCUCACUGCCUGGGUGGCUCCUCAGCUUUUCCCAGGACAGCAGAAGGAUGGGGGCAAAAGUUACAACCAGCUGAAUGGACGCAUCCUGAGCAAGCCAAAGGCUUCCUGUCAGACUAGGCAGAGAUAAGCUUCUCGCUGAGCUUCAUCUGCUGGCGUGUUUAUGACCUUACCACAGGGCAUAAAAUGAAAAUAGCAAAAGAAAAUGGGAGGAGGAAAGUAGAAAGGCAAGAAGAAGAAAAUCAAACCCUGGAGAGUAUUUAGUUUUCAUACCUUUUUUCUUCUUCUAACUUCACAUUGAGAUCUUGAAAAAUGUAAAGUAAACAUGAAGAUUUGGGAA